AUUGAACGCUGGCGGCAGGCCUAACACAUGCAAGUCGAGCGGAGCGGCGGACGGGUGAGUAAUGCCUAGGAAUCUGCCUGGUAGUGGGGGAUAACGUCCGGAAAUGGGCGCUAAUACCGCAUACUAUCAGAUUAGCCUAGGUCGGAUGAGCUAGUUGGUGGGGUAAAGGCCUACCAAGGCGACGAUCCGUAACUGGUCUGAGAGGAUGAUCAGUCAAACUGGAACUGAGACACGGUCCAGACUCCUACGGGAGGCAGCAGUGGGGAAUAUUGGACAAUGGGCGAAAGCCUGAUCCAGCCAUGCCGCGUGUGUGAAGAAGGCCUUCGGGUUGUAAAGCACUUUCAGCGGGGAGGCGUUACCCGCAGAAGAAGCACCGGCUAACUCCGUGCCAGCAGCCGCGGUAAUUC
rnacentral:rRNA from 1 species